UACAGGGGGUGCAAGCGUUAUUCGGAAUUAUUGGGCGUAAAGAGCGCGUAGGCGGUCUACUAAGUUUGGUGUGAAAUCCCUGGGCUCAAUCCAGGAAGUGCAUUGAAUACUGGUAGACUUGAGUAUUGGAGAGGUAAGCGGAAUUCCCGGUGUAGAGGUGAAAUUCGUAGAUAUUCGCAAGAACACCAGUGGCGAAGGCGGCUCACUGGUCCGGUACUGACGCUGAGGUGCGAAAGCGUGGGGAGCAAACAGG
rnacentral:rRNA from 1 species